UACGGAGGGUGCGAGCGUUGUCCGGAAUCACUGGGCGUAAAGGGCGCGUAGGCGGCCUGAUAAGUAGGGGGUGAAAUCCUGCGGCUUAACCGCAGGGCUGCCUUCUAAACUGUCAGGCUGGAGCACAGUAGAGGCAGGUGGAAUUCCCGGUGUAGCGGUGGAAUGCGUAGAGAUCGGGAAGAACAUCAGUGGCGAAGGCGGCCUGCUGGG
rnacentral:rRNA from 1 species